AAGGGUGAAAAUAAAGAAAAAUUAAGUUGAGAAAUGUGUAAGAAUUGAGAUUCGUUUGGUGUGGUUUGUCGGGGUCAAGGGACAUGUAGUUAUGAUUUGUUAGGUUAAAAAUAGACAUGUUUUUUUCAAGUUUGAAGAACGUUUAUCAUUGGUGGGUGAGGUGAGGGAAAGAGUAAUUUGACAUUACCAUUUAUAAAUUAAUUCCUUUUUUGAUAAAACAUUGCAUUAUGAUUGUUGUAGUUUGAAGGUUUAAUACCUAUUUUGGUCCCUCCUUUGGGAGGGUUUGUUCAAAGUGGUCCCUCCUUUUCUCAAAAGUUCAAUUCAGUCCUAUCUUUUGCAAAAACUGUUCAAAUUGGUCCUUUUGGGUAACGGCGUUAACUUGACUAACGACAGAGCUGCCAGGUGAGUAAUUUUUGAUGAUGUGACAUUGUUAAUUGUUUUAAAAAAUAUAUAUAAUUGUGAGGUGUAAAUUAUAUUAAUUAGGGUAAAAUAAAGAAAUGAAUUAGGGUAAUUGGAAUUCGAUUUACACCUCCCAAACCCUAACUCUCCUUCAAUUCCGAACCCCACCCCUCCAAAGCUCCCUCCUACACAGACCUAACAACCCCAAGACCGCAACUCUUCAACCCCUUCUUCUGCUCUGCUGUCACUCCUCCCACCCCUUCCCAGAGCCCAAGCACUUCUUCUCCAAAUGGCUUCCUUAACUUCCAAAAUCUUUCACUGCCUUCCGUGGAUCCCUUCCAACUUUCCUCUCGUCUAAUUCAUCUACCCCUCUUGACGCUUCUUCGUCUACUGUAAAAGAAAUAAUUUCCCUCUUUACUAUUCUCC
rnacentral:lncRNA from 1 species